AGACUUACCUGGCAGGGGGGACACUGCAACCAUGCAGGUGGUUUCCCCUCCUUCUGUUGCACUCUCAAUGUACUGACCCCUGAUAUUUCCCCCAAUUUGAGAAUCUUGACUACAUUAUUUAUGGUAGUGGGGUACUACAUUCAUGAGUUCUUUUA
rnacentral:snRNA from 11 species